UGACGCUGAGGCGCGAAAGUGUGGGGAGCAAACAGGAUUAGAUACCCUGGUAGUCCACACUGUAAACGAUGAAUGCUAGGUGUAGGGGGUAUCGACCCCUUCUGUGCCGCAGUCAACACAAUAAGCAUUCCGCCUGGGGAGUACGGCCGCAAGGUUGAAACUCAAAGGAAUUGACGGGGGCCCGCACAAGCAGCGGAGCAUGUGGUUUAAUUCGACGCAACGCGAAGAACCUUACCAGGUCUUGACAUCCAGGUAAAGCCGUAGAGAUACGGUGUGUGCUUGCACAAUCUGAGACAGGUGGUGCAUGGUUGUCGUCAGCUCGUGUCGUGAGAUGUUGGGUUAAGUCCCGCAACGAGCGCAACCCUUAUUUUCAGUUACUAACGGGAAAAGCCGAGGACUCUGAAGAGACUGCCGGGGACAACUCGGAGGAAGGUGGGGACGACGUCAAAUCAUCAUGCCCCUUAUGACCUGGGCUACACACGUGCUACAAUGGCCACCACAGAGAGGAGCGAACCCGCAAGGGGGAGCGGAUCUCAAAAAAGUGGUCCCAGUUCGGAUUGUGGGCUGCAACCCGCCCACAUGAAGUCGGAGUGCUAGUAAU
rnacentral:rRNA from 1 species